AUGACACUUGCAGAUCUUUCUCUCCUGCGGCUCUUAAAUCUGAUCUCUCUCUCUCUCUCUCUCUCUCUCUCUCUCUCUCUCUCUCUCUCUCUCUCUCUCUCUCUCUCUCUCUCUCUCUCUCUCUCUCAGAGUCAUGGCGAUUCUUCCUCUGUAGGUGCCUUGCCAGAGCAAUCUAAAAUACCUGCCUCCGAAGUCUCUUACAAAAGGGAGCAGAUCAUAGUGGAGGUAAACCUUAAUAAUCAAACAUUAAAUGUGUCUAAAGGGGAAAAGGGUGUCUCUUCUCAGUCCAAAGAGACUCCUGUUCUUAAGACAAGCAGCGAGGAAGAAGAGGAAGAGACUGAGGAGGACGCCACAGAUAACAGCAGUGACUACGGAGAGAACGGACGGCAGAAGAAAAAGGAGAAGCAAGUAGAGAAAGUCAGGGUUACACAAAGGCGAACCCGGAGAGCUGCCUCUGUUGCUGCAGCUACCACUUCCCCUACGCCCCGUACAACUCGAGGCCCAGAGCUACCUAAGAGGAAGAAGCAGGCCGCCAAGGAGCCUAAAGCGCCAGUCCAGAAAGCUAAGUGUGACGAGAAAGAGACUCUCACCUGUGAGAAGUGCCCUAGGGUGUUUAAUACUCUCUGGUACCUGGAGAAGCACAUGAACCUUACUCACAGGCGCAUGCAAAUCUGUGAUAAAUGUGGCAAGAAGUUUGUCCUGGAAAGUGAGCUGUCCCUUCACCAGCAGACAGACUGUGAAAAAAACAUUCAGAAGGAUGCCAGAGUCUAGUGCAGCUGAUGGGAACAGAGAC